UAACCCUUUGUUGUCCGACUCUGUUGCCUCCGGGGCGACCCUGCCUUUCCGGGCGGGGGCCCCGGCUGGACACCACAAAACUCUUGCGUAACUUUGCAGUCUGAGUAAAUUUUAAUUAAUAAAUUAAAACUUUCAACAACGGAUCUCUUGGUUCUGGCAUCGAUGAAGAACGCAGCGAAAUGCGAUAAGUAAUGUGAAUUGCAGAAUUCAGUGAAUCAUCGAAUCUUUGAACGCACAUUGCGCCCCCUGGUAUUCCGGGGGGCAUGCCUGUUCGAGCGUCAUUUCACCACUCAAGCCUCGCUUGGUAUUGGGCGACGCGGUCCGCCGCGCGCCUCAAAUCGACCGGCUGGGUCUUCUGUCCCCUCAGCGUUGUGGAAACUAUUCGCUAAAGGGUGCCACGGGAGGUCACGCCGUAAAACAAGCCCAUUUCUAAGGUUGACCUCGGAUCAGGUAGGGAUACCCGCUGAACUUAAGCAUAU
rnacentral:rRNA from 1 species